ACAACACCUAAUCAAAUUGGCUCUCGAGA
rnacentral:piRNA from 1 species